rnacentral:rRNA from 1 species
GUAGGNGGCAAGCGUUAUCCGGAUUUACUGGGUGUAAAGGGAGCGNAGACGGCUCUGCAAGUCUGAUGUGAAAACCCNGGGCUUAACCCUGGNACUGCAUUNGAAACUGUCUNUCUNGAGUGCCGGAGAGGUAAUCGGAAUUCCUAGUGUAGCGGUGAAAUGCGUAGAUAUUAGGAAGAACACCAGUGGCGAAGGCGGCUUACUGGACGNUAACUGACGUUGAGGCUCGAAAGCGUGGGGAGCAAACAGGAUUAGAUACCCUGGUAGUCCACNCNGUAAACGAUGAAUGCUAGGUGUUNGGGANCNGANCUCUUNCGUGCCGCCGCAAACNCAUUAAGNA